GCCGGGCGCGGUGGCGCGUGCCUGUAGUCCCAGCUACUCGGGAGGCUGAGGCUUGAGGAUCCCUUGAGUUCAGGAGUUCUGGGCUGUAGUGCGCUAUGCCGAUCGGGUGUCCGCACUAAGUUCGGCAUCAAUAUGGUGACCUCCCGGGAGCGGGGGACCACCAGGUUGCCUAAGGAGGGGUGAACCGGCCCAGGUCGGAAACGGAGCAGGUCAAAACUCCCGUGCUGAUCAGUAGUGGGAUCGCGCCUGUGAAUAGCCACUGCACUCCAGCCUGGGCAACAUAGUGAGACCCUGCCUCU
rnacentral:SRP_RNA from 10 species